rnacentral:rRNA from 1 species
AUUGAACGCUGGCGGCAGGCCUAACACAUGCAAGUCGAACGGUAACAGGAAGCAGCUUGCUGCUUCGCUGACGAGUGGCGGACGGGUGAGUAAUGUCUGGGAAGCUGCCUGAUGGAGGGGGAUAACUACUGGAAACGGUAGCUAAUACCGCAUAAUGUCGCAAGACCAAAGAGGGGGACCUUCGGGCCUCUUGCCAUCGGAUGUGCCCAGAUGGGAUUAGCUUGUUGGUGGGGUAACGGCUCACCAAGGCGACGAUCCCUAGCUGGUCUGAGAGGAUGGCCAGCCACACUGGAACUGAGACACGGUCCAGACUCCUACGGGAGGCAGCAGUGGGGAAUAUUGCACAAUGGGCGCAAGCCUGAUGCAGCCAUGCCGCGUGUAUGAAGAAGGCCUUCGGGUUGUAAAGUACUUUCAGCGGGGAGGAAGGGAGUAAAGUUAAUACCUUUGCUCAUUGACGUUACCCGCAGAAGAAGCACCGGCUAACUCCGUG